rnacentral:rRNA from 1 species
UUAAGCGACUAAGCGUACACGGUGGAUGCCCUGGCAGUCAGAGGCGAUGAAGGACGUGCUAAUCUGCGAAAAGCGUCGGUAAGGUGAUAUGAACCGUUAUAACCGGCGAUGUCCGAAUGGGGAAACCCAGUGCAAUUCGUUGCACUAUCGUUAACUGAAUACAUAGGUUAACGAGGCGAACCGGGGGAACUGAAACAUCUAAGUACCCCGAGGAAAAGAAAUCAACCGAGAUUCCCCCAGUAGCGGCGAGCGAACGGGGAGCAGCCCAGAGUCUGAAUCAGCUUGUGUGUUAGUGGAACGGUCUGGAAAGUCCGACGGUACAGGGUGAUAGUCCCGUACACCAAAAUGCACAGGCUGUGAACUCGAAGAGUAGGGCGGGACACGUGGUAUCCUGUCUGAAUAUGGGGGGACCAUCCUCCAAGGCUAAAUACUCCUGACUGACCGAUAGUGAACCAGUACCGUGAGGGAAAGGCGAAAAGAACCCCGGCGAGGGGAGUGAAAAAGAACCUGAAACCGUGUACGUACAAGCAGUGGGAGCACCUUCGGGUGUGACUGCGUACCUUUUGUAUAAUGGGUCAGCGACUUAUAUUCUGUAGCAAGGUUAACCGUAUAGGGGAGCCGCAGGGAAACCGAGUCUUAACUGGGCGUUAAGUUGCAGGGUAUAGACCCGAAACCCGGUGAUCUAGCCAUGGGCAGGUUGAAGGUUGGGUAACACUAACUGGAGGACCGAACCGACUAAUGUUGAAAAAUUAGCGGAUGACUUGUGGCUGGGGGUGAAAGGCCAAUCAAACCGGGAGAUAGCUGGUUCUCCCCGAAAGCUAUUUAGGUAGCGCCUCGUGAAUUCAUCUUCGGGGGUAGAGCACUGUUUCGGCUAGGGGGUCAUCCCGACUUACCAACCCGAUGCAAACUACGAAUACCGAAGAAUGUUAUCACGGGAGACACACGGCGGGUGCUAACGUCCGUCGUGAAGAGGGAAACAACCCAGACCGCCAGCUAAGGUCCCAAAGUCAUGGUUAAGUGGGAAACGAUGUGGGAAGGCACAGACAGCCAGGAUGUUGGCUUAGAAGCAGCCAUCAUUUAAAGAAAGCGUAAUAGCUCACUGGUCGAGUCGGCCUGCGCGGAAGAUGUAACGGGGCUAAACCAUGCACCGAAGCUGCGGCAGCGACACUAUGUGUUGUUGGGUAGGGGAGCGUUCUGUAAGCCUGCGAAGGUGACCUGUGAGGGUUGCUGGAGGUAUCAGAAGUGCGAAUGCUGACAUAAGUAACGAUAAAGCGGGUGAAAAGCCCGCUCGCCGGAAGACCAAGGGUUCCUGUCCAACGUUAAUCGGGGCAGGGUGAGUCGACCCCUAAGGCGAGGCCGAAAGGCGUAGUCGAUGGGAAACAGGUUAAUAUUCCUGUACUUGGUGUUACUGCGAAGGGGGGACGGAGAAGGCUAUGUUAGCCGGGCGACGGUUGUCCCGGUUUAAGCAUGUAGGCUGGUUAUCCAGGCAAAUCCGGAUAAUCAAGGCUGAGGUGUGAUGACGAGGCACUACGGUGCUGAAGUAACAAAUGCCCUGCUUCCAGGAAAAGCCUCUAAGCAUCAGGUAACAUCAAAUCGUACCCCAAACCGACACAGGUGGUCAGGUAGAGAAUACCAAGGCGCUUGAGAGAACUCGGGUGAAGGAACUAGGCAAAAUGGUGCCGUAACUUCGGGAGAAGGCACGCUGGUGUGUAGGUGAAGCCCCUGCGGGUGGAGCUGAGACCAGUCGAAGAUACCAGCUGGCUGCAACUGUUUAUUAAAAACACAGCACUGUGCAAACACGAAAGUGGACGUAUACGGUGUGACGCCUGCCCGGUGCCGGAAGGUUAAUUGAUGGGGUUAUCCGUAAGGAGAAGCUCUUGAUCGAAGCCCCGGUAAACGGCGGCCGUAACUAUAACGGUCCUAAGGUAGCGAAAUUCCUUGUCGGGUAAGUUCCGACCUGCACGAAUGGCGUAAUGAUGGCCAGGCUGUCUCCACCCGAGACUCAGUGAAAUUGAACUCGCUGUGAAGAUGCAGUGUACCCGCGGCAAGACGGAAAGACCCCGUGAACCUUUACUAUAGCUUGACACUGAACAUUGAGCCUUGAUGUGUAGGAUAGGUGGGAGGCUUUGAAGCGUGGACGCCAGUCUGCGUGGAGCCAACCUUGAAAUACCACCCUUUAAUGUUUGAUGUUCUAACGUUGGCCCCUGACCGGGGUUGCGGACAGUGUCUGGUGGGUAGUUUGACUGGGGCGGUCUCCUCCCAAAGCGUAACGGAGGAGCACGAAGGUUAGCUAAUCCUGGUCGGACAUCAGGAGGUUAGUGCAAUGGCAUAAGCUAGCUUGACUGCGAGCGUGACGGCGCGAGCAGGUGCGAAAGCAGGUCAUAGUGAUCCGGUGGUUCUGAAUGGAAGGGCCAUCGCUCAACGGAUAAAAGGUACUCCGGGGAUAACAGGCUGAUACCGCCCAAGAGUUCAUAUCGACGGCGGUGUUUGGCACCUCGAUGUCGGCUCAUCACAUCCUGGGGCUGAAGUAGGUCCCAAGGGUAUGGCUGUUCGCCAUUUAAAGUGGUACGCGAGCUGGGUUUAGAACGUCGUGAGACAGUUCGGUCCCUAUCUGCCGUGGGCGCUGGAGAAUUGAGGGGGGCUGCUCCUAGUACGAGAGGACCGGAGUGGACGCAUCACUGGUGUUCGGGUUGUCAUGCCAAUGGCACUGCCCGGUAGCUAAAUGCGGAAGAGAUAAGUGCUGAAAGCAUCUAAGCACGAAACUUGCCCCGAGAUGAGUUCUCCCUGAGACUUUAAGUCUCCUGAAGGAACGUUGAAGACGACGACGUUGAUAGGCCGGGUGUGUAAGCGCAGCGAUGCGUUGAGCUAACCGGUACUAAUGAACCGUGAGGCUUAACCUU